UGCUAAGUUCAGCUGCAGUGGAUAGGGCCCAGCGACGUUUAUCAAAAACACAGUUUCGCAAAAUCGUAAGAUGACGUAUAGGGACUGACCCGGUCCGGUCUGGAAGCUAAAAUGAUGGGUUAGCUUCGCGAAGUUCAGAAUGGAGCCCAGUAACGGAGGCCGUAACUAUAACGGUCUUAAGGUAGCGAAAUCCUGGUCGGGUUAGUUCCGACCCGCACGAAAAGCGUAUCGAUCUGGGCACUGUCUCAACGAGAGACUCGGUGAAAUAUCAUUGUCCGUGAAGAUGCGGACUACACGCGACAGGACGGAAAGACCCCAUGGAGCUUUACUGUAGCUUUGAUAUUGAGUGUUUGUACAGCUUGUACAGGAUAGGUAGGAGCCAUAGAAACCGGAACGCUAGUUUCGGUGGAGGCGUUGGUGGGAUACUACCCUCGCUGUAUGACCACUCUAACCCGCACCACUAAUCGUGGUGGGAGACAGUGUCAGGUGGGCAGUUUGACUGGGGCGGUCGCCUCCUAAAAAGUAACGGAGGCGCCCAAAGGUUCCCUCAGAAUGGUUGGAAAUCAUUCGCAGAGUGUAAAGGCACAAGGGAGCUUGACUGCGAGACAGACAGGUCGAGCAGGGACGAAAGUCGGGCUUAGUGAUCCGGUGGUACCGUAUGGAAGGGCCAUCGCUCAACGGAUAAAAGCUACCCUGGGGAUAACAGGCUUAUCUCCCCCAAGAGUCCACAUCGACGGGGAGGUUUGGCACCUCGAUGUCGGCUCAUCGCAUCCUGGGGCUGUAGUCGGUCCCAAGGGUUGGGCUGUUCGCCCAUUAAAGCGGUACGCGAGCUGGGUUCAGAACGUCGUGAGACAGUUCGGUCCCUAUCCGUCGCGGGCGUAGGAAAUUUGAGAGGACCUGUCCUUAGUACGAGAGGACCGGGAUGGACAUACCUCUGGUGUACCAGUUGUGCCGCCAGGCGCAUCGCUGGGUAGCUACGUAUGGAUGUGAUAAACGCUGAAAGCAUCUAAGUGUGAAACACACCUCGAGAUGAGAUUUCCCAUUCCUUUAUGGAAGUAAGACCCCUGAAAGAUGAUCAGGUAGAUAGGUUAGAAGUGGCAGUGCGGUGACGCAUGAAGCGGACUAAUACUAAUCGGUCGAGGACUUAACCAA
rnacentral:rRNA from 2 species